AUGAUUCAAGGACAUUGCAUUUCUUUAUUUCUGUUAUUCCAUCAGCUCCACCUCAGAUCAUCAGGCGUUGAUCCUGGAGGUCAGGAACCCGGCCACAGGCUGAGAGGGGUGACCCAGGCUUUUCUCUUCUUUAGGCGACGCUGCCUCUCCAGGCGGGAGGACUUGGGGAUCUGCAGAGAAGGGAGCCUUUGCAGGUGUGGUGCUGAAGACCCGUUUACCAGGUCUUUUAAUCUGUGGGCUUCCACUCAGUCAUCGAUGGAAGAAGAUUUCGGUUGGAGCUGCUUUGGCUUACAAAGAUCUGGAAACGCUUUGUCCCUGGAGUGGACUUCCAGCCAAAUGAGGAUCUCCAUAGGAAUGGAAGAAAUCACACGCUUUGCUCCAGGAUCCUGUGUUUGCCAGGUCACAUUGCUUUACUUUGGAUCUCUACCAUCUGAACAAGUGUCAGUCCAAAGGCCCGAGACCCACCGUGGUACAGCCGACUGCUACGCGUCGCCGGGGCAAUGUGUCCUCUUGCGUCUUUGCCAGGAUAAUGCUGAACAAACAAAUGGGCCUUCUUUGGAGAAGAGCCCUGCUCCUGCUGGCAGAGGUUGUAAGUUUUCCUGGCGACCCCGCGAGAAUCUAGGCUCCACUGCCCCAUUUCCCUGCGUGCCUCUAUUUGGGAAUGAUAAUGGGGAAGUCUGUGUUUGUUACCCGCCUUUGGAUGCCCCAUAACCAGCAGCACCGGCACA
rnacentral:lncRNA from 1 species